GACGAACGCUGGCGGCGCGCUUAACACAUGCAAGUCGAGCGAAGCGGCGGACGGGUGAGUAACACGUGAGUAACCUGCCUUAGACAUUGGGAUAGCCUCGGGAAACCGGGAUUAAUACCAAAUGGUCUAAGAUGGACUCGCGUCCCAUUAGCUAGUUGGUGGGUAACGGCCCACCAAGGCGACGAUGGGUAGCCGGCCACAGGAGCUGAACGGCGACAUUGGGACUGAGAGUCGGGCCAAACUCUACGGGAGGCAGCAGUGGGGAAUAAUGCACAAUGGAGAGAAAUCUGAUGCAGCUACGCCGCGUGAACGAAGAAGGCUUUCGAGUCGUAAAGUUAUUUUAUAUGGGAAGCGGUACCAUAAGAAAAAGCCCCGGCUAACUACGUGCCAGCAGCCGCGGUAAUAC
rnacentral:rRNA from 1 species